rnacentral:lncRNA from 1 species
GCUCCUUGCCCCUUGACUUUAAGGAUGCACCAUCUACAUUUGUACUUAAAUUAAUAGAUGUGGAUCUAGAAGAAUUGUGAGUAAAUGUCUCAUUAUUUACUUGCUCUGCAGAUGCACGUAACGAAGAAGGUGGCUCAGAGGGCACAUCAUUGAUCUGCUGCAUCUGUGGUUAAAUGGAUGAAUCAGCAAACGCACUAGCAUUUAUAGGCAACAACAUAAUUCCAGAGGCAUUUGUUGCUUUAGGUCUCGAUUUUGAAUGCUUCCCUUUAACCAUCAUUCCUGCAAUAUUUUUUUGUUAAAAUUCAUACACAAAUUUUAAAAAAAUUUAAACAAACUAUAAAAAUCAUCAAAUUACAACAAUUAAGAGUAAUUCCUAAUCAUGUGUACAAUAAAAGAUGCCACUAUAAAGUAUUCAUUUCAAAAAUUAAAAAUAUAAACUAUAAUAAUUUUAUAACAUGUCAAGAUCUUAUAAUAUUGAUAACUAAGUUAAACAACUGUGUAACAAAAGAUAUAAACCAAUAUCAUAUAUGUCUACCAUCAUCAAUCACUUUCAAAAUAAGCAAACUCAUGUUUUUCAUUAUUAUCACUAUCAUCAGUAAAAGUUUCUUUGUCUUUGUCUUCAACUUUAUUUUCAUCUUCAUUUUCGUCUCCUUACAUGUCAUUUUCUUCAUUCUCAAUCAAUAGAUUAACUUCUUCAUCAAGAGAUUAACUUCUUCAUAAUCACCAUUUGCUAAAACUGUAGAGUUAUCAAGUUUUUUCGAUGGAGUAAUAUUAAUGGAAAUAGACAUAUCAUCUUCUUAGUAUACUUCUUUAUUCAAAUUAAUUUCAUUUUCUUUAUCUUCACUACUAGGAAGGUGGAAUAUAGUCUUAGCUUUUGUUUUAAAUAUUGUUCACCAAUCAUGUCAAUCUCUUUUUAUUGAUAGAUAACUACUAUAAUAAACUUGGUGAGCUUGUCCAGUUAAAACAAACGGCUCAUUAGUGGCAAGUAUUGAGUUGUAUUUAAUUUCAACAAGACCAUCAAAAGGGUUUAGCUUAGUACCUUUUUCAAUGUCAAACCAAUGAUACUUACAUAGCCCAACUCUGUUUUCGAUACCAAAAUACUCUAACUCAAUUAUAUCCGCUAAAAUACUAUAAAAGUCAUGCUCAUAAUCAUUGUAAAAACUCCCUUUUAUGCAGACCCCACUAUUCAUUGUCUUACGAUCUUGCCCAUAAUCUAGGGUGUAAAACUUGAAACCAUUUACAAAGUAUCCUUUGUAACACUUUAUCAUAUGUCCUAAACCAUGAGAGAUUUCAAUUAUACGUGAAAAAUUUCAUCCUUACAUUCUGAAACCUACGAACAUGUAAUACAAGACCAAAAAUGAUUAGUUUACAUACAUAAUGCAUAUUUGUUAUUAAAAGUUCACUUCUACUUUACAUAAACUUACAUAUGUUGUAAAUGAUUUCACAAAUCUUGCAUCAUGUACUUUCUCCAAUUCAUCUUCCGAUAUAUGCACAACAUCUCUUUUCACUAUUUCAUCAAAUAUCUUAUCAUCAUAUCCACAAUUUACAAAUGAAGUUUAUUCUUAUGAUUAAUCAUUUGGGUUUAUGAUAGAAUGGUACUUAUUCAAUAUAUGGGAGUAUCUCUUCACAAUUCAUUAACACAUAUAGCUUAGCAGCAUAAAACUCAUCUUUAUCUAAAAAUCGAGAUAUAUCUAAUAGACCAAAAGCUCACCCAAGAUGAGUGAAAAUUGAAAACGAUCAAGAGAAUCCAUGUCUCCCCAUCAUCAUUACAUGGCACUCAAAUUAAUCUUGUUCGCACAGUAUGUUCAAAAUAUAAUGAGAAAAACAAAGAGAUUUCCUCGAUCAUAUAAGCCUCACAUAUAGAUCCUUCAAUAAAGGCUCGAUAUUUUACUUUCUUCUUCAAAUGUUGCAAAAAACCUAAAAAUCAUAAUAUAUAUAAAACUUAAUAAAUACCUUAACUUAAUAAGUAUCGUAAACUCUUUUAAUAAACUAUUUGAAAAUAAAUAACAAGUGUAGUACCUCUCAAAUGGAUACAUUCAUCGAUACUGGACGGGUUUACCAACCUUUGCCUCAUAAGGUAAAUGGAUCAGUAAAUGCUCCAUAGAGUCAAAGAAAUCGAGAGGAAAUAUCUUUUCUAGUUUACAUAUAGUUUCACAUAUUUUUCCUUCCAAAGCUUUCAUGUGAUCUACAAGUAUUUCAAUUGAGUAUAAAUCUCUAAAAAAAAUAAAUAUCUCAAUAAUCGCAUCCUAAAUUGAGCGAGGCACCAUAUCACUAAAGACAAUUGGGAGAAAUAGUUGUAAAAAAAAUACAAUCAUGACUUUUCAUUGCAUAAAAUUUACAAUCGAUCUCGUUAACACACUAAGAUAUGUUCAACACAAAACUAUCAAGUAAUCUCAAUUGUUUCACCUAAGCACAAAUAAUUUUUCUUUUUUUUUAUUUAAAGUGUAUGAAAUCUUAGGCUUGAAAAUAUUUCUAUUAUUUUCCACCAAUUCCAAUUCUGGAAGUUGCAAUACACCUUCAAAUCUUGCAUUGCCUUUAAGUAGUCUUUCAUCUUCCCCUUAAAAUGCAUUACUGUGUUUAAUAUAUUCUCAAAUACAUUUCACUCAAUAUGCAUCACAUCUAGAUUGUGACAACUAAGAAACGUAUGCCAAUAAAAAAAAUCUCAAAAUAUACUCUUUUUCACUCAAUUAUGACUUACAUCGUAACCCGAAAUUUUCUGCUCACCACAUUUAUUCCAAAUGAGAUAUGAGGAAGCGAAUUCAACAGUGACAAUAUAUCUUCACCUGAUAAUCAAGGAUAUGAAAAGUCAUGCUCAAUUUUUUUUUCAAGAAAUUUAUCUUUUUACCUUCUAAAAGGAUGAUUAGGUAACAAGAAUUGCUAAUGACAAUAAAAAAAUCAAGGUUUCCGACCAUGAUCUAAUAUGAAAGAUUUAGAACGUUCCAUGUAAUAGGGACAUGAUAAUCAUCCAUGAGUACUCCACCUUGACAACAUGCCAUAAGCAGGAAAAUCAUUAAUUGUCCAUAAUAAUGUUGCCUUUAGUUGAAAAUUUUGUUUCCUAUAUGCAUCAUACAUGACAACACCUUCGGUCCAUAAUACUUUCAACUCAUCUAUCAAAACCCUCAAGAAAACAUUUAUGUUUUGGCUUGAAUUUUCUUCCCCGAAAUGACCAUGUUAAGAAAUAUAUAUAUGCUUGUUUCAUACACAUCCAUAGGGGUAAAUUGUACACACGGAGCAUUAUUGGCUAAACAGAAUAAGGUUUAACAGUUGAUCUAAAAAGAUUGAAACUGUCAGCACAUAACCUUAGUUUGACAUUUCGAGAUUCCAUUGCAAAUAACUCAUGUGUGUGGUUGAAGUGUUGCCAAGCCUCACAAUCAAUAAGGUGUCUAAGGACUCCAUCAUGGCUUUGGUUUUACACAUGCCAUGUCAUAUGUUUAAUAGUUUUGCCUGACAUAUAAAGCUUUUGAAGCCUUGGUAUAAGUGGCAAGUAAUGCAAAAUCUUGUAAGGUAUUUUCUUUUGCCUUUUCACACUUGAUUUCGUUAGUUUAUAUCGAGGAUGCUCACAUAUCAUACAAUACCCCAAAUCAACAAUUUUCUCAUAAACUAAGAUGCAAGCAUGAAUUUUGAUAUAUCCAAGUCCAAGUUUCGUUACCUUUUUUUUCAUUCUAUAAAAGUCAGUAGGUAAAGUUUCAUCUGAUGGUAACAUAUUCGUUAUUAUCUCCAACAACUGAUCAAAAUACGAUUUACUCAAAUUAAACUUUGACUUAAUGUUUAAAAAUUACGACAUAGCUGAAAGUGUUGUGUGCUUUAUAUAACUUGACUACAAAGGUUCAUCUGCAUUACUUAACAAAGAGUAAAAGUUAGCUGCAUUUGGAUUUGGAUCUUCUUCCUCAAACCCUAACUCAUUAUCAUGACUAUAACUGAAAACAACUUUCGGACCCAUAGCAGCCUUAACCCUUCUAGCAUAUGGAUUUUCUAUUUCCUCUUCAUAUGUAGGUUCCCCAUGACUAGCAUAUAAUUUAACUCUAUCUCUACUUCUUGAUGAUUGUCCAACAUCAUGUUCCUCAUGUAAACUCCAUAUUGUGUAAGUAUCAGUAAAACCCUUUUUAAGGAUGUGCUCUACCACUUUAUCAAAAUUUAGAAACUUGUUGCUACACUAUGAGCAAAGGCAUCUACUCUUAUUCUCCCACAUAAUUGAAGGGUUAGAAAAUGCAAAAUCAAUGAAUUCUUUAACUCCAUAUAUAAAUUCAUCUCUAAUGAAUCCAUCAAAAGUUAAGCAGCGGUACAUUCAAUAUUGACCUCCCACCAUUUGUAAUCCUAAGUGUCAUAGAAUAUAAUAAUCAGGAGUAAUUCCCAUUCAUGUUUACAAUAAAAAUUGUUAACAAAUACAUGCCAUUAUGAAAUACAUUUAAACAUUUUAAAUAUAAAUUAAAAUAAUAUAAUAACAUGUCAAGAUAGUAAAAAUGAUUUCACACAAUUGCCUAGUGUUAAGUAUCAUUCCAAUUCAAUAACAUAUUGGUAACUUUUAAGAUGACCAAAAUACAUAUUUAUUAUGAAAACUCAAAUAAUUUCAGCAACUAAGUUAAGCACAUUUUUACAAUGCAUCUUAUUAGUAAUAUUUCUAAUAUUUCUAGUGCACAGAAGAUUAGUUACUUACUUUUGGAUGUUUUGUUCUGCAAUGUAUUCUUUAUCCUCUUUAGCUAUUUGAGAAGCAACAUGGGCAAACUAACCCUCGAUAGUUUUUGCAGCAAUUUUGCUAACUUCCUUCUUUACAAAUUUAUGACCUUGUUUUGAAGCAAAAGUAAACAUUCCUUCAAUUUUUUAUAUGAAGCAUUUAUUGUUUGACAUAGCUGUGAAGACUAAAUUUUGGCUUAAGCUUAUUUGUGAUAAACUAUUACUAGAAAACAAACUUUUGGGUGGUUUAUUAGCUCAUGCAAUUCGAAGCAUAAAGUUGUAGAUUUAUGUAGCUAAUGUAAAAGCUCAUGAAUUAUAAAAGAAAGAUCGAAAUUUUCUAUUAGAAGGUGUGCAUUGUUAUGAAGUAAUACAUAAUUCAAAAAAAUUACAACAAAUCUGAUGCCAUUAUCUAAGAUUAAUAUUGAUGGAAAAAAAUGAAAAAGAACAUCUUUUAAAAAUAUGAUGCCAUUAAAUAAAUGAUAGCUAAAGUCAUAAAGGACUUUGGUCAUUUCACUACAAAAAAUCUUUGUAUUUCCAACAGAAAAUAUUCCGUUGGAAAUUUUCAGCGGAUUUGCAACGGAUUUCCAACAAAGUAUAAUUAAAAUUUUUAAUUACUUGUUCUGACGGAUUUCUAACGGACUUAUACUGAAAAUUUUUCAUCGAAAUUUUUUGUUGGAAAUCCGUUGGAAAAUAUGGUGUUUUCCGUAGUUUUUUUGAAAUUUUGCGUCCGCGCCCUGCCAGUAUUUUUUUAUUGAUUUUUUUAUUAGUUAAGUAUUAUUAUUAUUAAUUUUUUUAACAUAAAAAAUAUGGUGUUUACAGCUAGCUGCUAGCCUACCACGCCAAGCUCGGAUCUUUCAUCGGUUGAUCUACCUUUUCUCUCCAAUAACCCAGCCACAGCCAGGGUCUGCUGACUGCAUGGGUGUCUCCCCAAGCUCCAUGCCCUUGUUCUUCCCUUGUUGCCGACCUACCCCGCCACGCUCGGCUCCUUCAUCAGUUCAUCUGAAUUUUCUCCCCAGUUGCCCAGCCACAGCCACUUCUUGUCGACUGCCUCUGUGUCGCCCUAAGCCCCACGCCAUUCUUAAUAAUUGUUAUGCAAACAAGAUUUGAUGCUUCAAUUAGGGCUGUUUGUUACUGUAAAAUGAUACUAGCUUAUUGACUGCUUCAGACAAUUUUUUAGAGUUGAUGUGUUGCUAUUGUUCUACAUUUACAAUAUCAUUUAAAUGUUACUGUAUUGUAUGUUUCUGAAAAGUGAUACCUUAAGAAUUAAUGGAACAUGCCAAUGUCGAUAUUGUCAUUAAUUU